rnacentral:rRNA from 1 species
UACGAAGGGGGCUAGCGUUGUUCGGAAUCACUGGGCGUAAAGCGCACGUAGGCGGAUCUUUAAGUCAGGGGUAAAAUCCCGAGGCUCAACCUCGGAACUGCCUUUGAUACUGGGGAUCUCGAGUCCGGGAGAGGUGAGUGGAACUGCGAGUGUAGAGGUGAAAUUCGUAGAUAUUCGCAAGAACACCAGUGGCGAAGGCGGCUCACUGGCCCGGAACUGACGCUGAGGUGCGAAAGCGUGGGGAGCAAACAGG